rnacentral:rRNA from 1 species
AUUGAACGCUAGCGGGAUGCUUUACACAUGCAAGUCGAACGAGUGGCGGACGGGUGAGUAAUAUAUCGGAACGUGCCCAGUAGCGGGGGAUAACUACUCGCAAGAGGGCUAAUACCGCCUACUAUUGGAGCGGCCGAUAUCGGAUUAGCUAGUUGGUGGGGUAAAGGCUCACCAAGGCAACGAUCCGUAGCUGGUUUGAGAGGACGACCAGCCACACUGGGACUGAGACACGGCCCAGACUCCUACGGGAGGCAGCAGUGGGGAAUUUUGGACAAGGGGGGAAACCCUGAUCCAGCCAUCCCGCGUGUAUGAUGAAGGCCUUCGGGUUGUAAAGUACUUUCAGCGAGGAGGCGUUACUCGCAGAAGAAGCACCGGCUAACUCCGUGCCAGCCGCCGCGGUAAUAC